rnacentral:rRNA from 1 species
GACGAACGCUGGCGGCAUGCCAAUACAUGCAAGUCGAGCGAACAGAUGAAGUGCUUGCACUUCUGACGUUAGCGGCGAACGGGUGAGUAACACGUAAGGAAUCUACCUAUAAGCGGGGGAUAGCAUUCGGAAGCGGGUGCUAAUACCGCAUAAUAUCUUCUUCCGCAUGGAAGAAGAUUGAAAGACGGCUCUGCUGUCACUUAUAGAUGACCUUGCGGUGCAUUAGUUAGUUGGUGGGGUAAUAGCCUACCAAGACGAUGAUGCAUAGCCGACAUGAGAGGGUGGGCGGCCACAUUGGGACUGAGACACGGCCCAAAAUCCUACGGGAGGCAGCAGUAGGGAAUCUUCCGCAAUGGGCGAAAGCCUGACGGAGCAAUGCCGCGUGAGUGAAGAAGGCCUUCGGGUCGUAAAACUCUGUUAUAAGAGAAGAACAGAUUGUAGAGUAACUGCUACAGUCUUGACGGUAUCUUAUCAGAAAGCCACGGCUAACUACGUGCCAGCAGCCGCCGUAA